AUUUACCGAAUUGUUAUUGGUGGUGAAAUAACUACUGCUGAUUGGUUGCACGUCGGGACGUCGUCUCAUUCUAAGCGGGCACUUCAAAAUGGAAGAGAAGCUGGAUGCCGAGACUCUCAAAGUUUAUGGAGGACUGGCAGCAACCUUGGAAAAGCUAACAAGCGAAGCAGCUACUUUGGGAGAACAUUGCAAACGAGUCAGAGAACACAACGCCGCCCUUAAAAAGCUGAACAAAAGCUUCAAUGAGGUCCAGUCGAGACUUGAGCGAGUGGCAGCUAUACGGCCUGGUUUCAGCCAAGUGAACUUAUGAAGAAGGAUUAUUCUUCUGCUGUUUGUGCAAAUACAGUGCCAUUGAACACGACUUUACAAACCCUGUUAUAACAGAAUGUCGUAACCAUGAUUUGUGUGUCCUGCAUGUUGUACAUUAUAGAAAUACAUGCAAAGAAGCAGUCUUUUUGCAUAGUAUGGCUCCCAAAGGGGAAAACUAUAUAACAUGUCAUGAAGUGACCCACACGCCUUACUUUCUGUACAAUAGUUACUUUGGUUGUCUUAAGAGUCUGACAGUGGAUUCUAAAUGAGGCCUUGUCAAGAGAACUUCAUUUGUGGUGCAGGUCUGAAUUUAGUUUCUAUUUUUAAUGUUAUGAGAUAUGUACGGUUUUAAACACAGGGAGUUCUGCUCCAAAGCUGUUUUUGAAAGUCAUGGAGUUAGAACUGACUAUGCAGAGAGCACAUUAUCUGUUAGGGUUCCUGACUGUGUGUUUAUAUGAGAGCCUGUUAUUAGCAGUGUAAAACUGGAAAUAUCUCAAAAACCACUAAAAAUAGAAAAUGAAUUUAAACUGCAAAAGUGCUCAGGGGAGCACUCUAAGUUUAAAUCAUUUUUUAAGAUUCAGAUCCCUGUAAAGAAUAUGUAAGCCUUUUAUUUUAAAAUCCCCUAAGAAUAACAUACUUUUCUCCCUGCAUUCAGAUUUACAAACAGCUUAACUGCAGCUCUACUGACUUCCUUGUCUUUGCCACCUUUUGCUUUCUGAGCUUUCUGAUUCACAAGUGCAGGCCAGUGGUAACUUUUAGGGAAAAUGUUUUUCCUUCAUGUACACUUGGA